CUCUUGUCGUGGCCGCUGGAAACUACAUACCCGAUCCUGUAGACCGAAUGGUAAACCGUCGACGUCGCCCAAAGCACGUCAUCACGGAUCCUCCUGAUCCAUUAACGGUGCUUUUAGGCAAUACAAGCACCGGUCACCGUCCUCGUCGAACCCGUCGCUUGCGACGAAGGGCUCGACGAGCGAAUUAGCCCACAGACACAGCCCACUGAGUUUCUCGCCGGAUCUUCUCAGUGGGUCGCGCUUCCGACCCGGUGGUAGAUUCUGCGAAGCACUGCACUUGCCUAGGGUCAGUGUUAGCAAUUCUCCGGUUUGAGCCCCGUAAGCUCACCUACACAAGCUAGGGUAAGCUGAAAUAGCCUCUCAAGGCUAUCAGCAUAGGUAGAAAAAAAAAAAAGCUAAGCGAAGUAAAUUAUCCCUUAGAAAUAAGAUGACACUCUACAAAACUUGCAUACGCCCCGUCAUGAGCACUGCAAGUGUAGUGUUCGCACACACGGCCCGCACUCACUUGAAACCCCUCCAAAUAAUACAAUCCCGUUUUUGCAGGAUAGCUGUCGGAGCCCCGUGGUUCGUCCAGAACGUGGACCUCCAUGACGACAUGCACCUAGAGUCCAUCAUUAAGAAUCUAAAGUCGGCAUCAGUGCGCCACUUCGAAAAAGCGGCACGACACAAGAACCUUCUUAUCGUGGCCACCGUUUGUAGGUAGACGAGCAUACGGCCCACCUGAAGGUAAACGGCUACCAUCGCUCAUGGACGUAAGCAAUGCCAGGGGCAUAGCCAAACCGCUGCCUACCAUUGAGUACUCUCCGCAAGCCUCGCUUGAAGAAGCUCAUGAAUGCCAACGAAUGACCAACCAAUGGAUGAUCACAUGCCAUGCCAGUCUAUACAAAAAUGACAGGAAACCUGGACGCUGACGGCGGGGCUGCCCAUAAGUUAAGAGUUGCACAGCGGGCGAUGGAGAGAGCUAUGCUCGGUAUCUCUCUAAGGGACAAAAUCCGGAACGAAGAAAUUCGACAGAGGACUAAAGUCGACGGCUAAAGUGGCAAUGGGCCGGUCACAUAUGUCGAGCCAACGACGCAGGGUGGCGGAGGAAAGUUUCGAAUGAAGGCCACGGAUGGGUACCAGGAGCGUGGGGCGUCCUCCAACCAGGUGGACCGACGACUUAGUGCGCACGGCGGGAAGUCGUUGGAUGUGGAAGGCGGAGGACCGCAUUCUGUGGAAGGCAUUGGGAAAGGCCUAUGUCCAGCAGUGAGCAGAUAAACGCUGAUGAUGAUGAUGUAUUAUGGGUACCAAAGACUAAUAAACAUACUUAUUUACGUUUAAGUAUAUACAUUGUAAUGAACGCGCCGGAAUGGAGCUUAACGUCAACUGUCAUGAAGCGUUUUUACGGUGGUAGGACCUCUUGCGAGUCCGCGCGGGUAGGUACCACCACCCUGCCUAUUUCUGCCGUGAAGCAGUAAUGCGUUUCGGUUUGAAGGGUGGGGCAGCCGUUGUAACUAUGCUGAGACCUUAGAACUCAUAUCUCAAGGUGGGUGGCGCAUUUACGUUGUAGAUGUCUAUGGGCUCUAGUGACCACUUAACAACCAGGUGGGCUGUGAGCUCGCCCACACAUCUAAGCAAUAAAAUAAAGCGUCCUUCUGGUUUUCACCGCCUUUUGGGGAACACAUCAAAAUGCUCCAACGUUACAUUUAUUUGCAUUAAUUCAGUUAUGUACUUGUGUGGUGUUAAAAUAAAGGAUUAAAUAAAGGAUUGAUAAGUUGCGGUGUUUGUCUAUUACACUUUUACAUACUUAAAUAGUUAAUACUGAAUGGAUGAAUGAAUGGUAAAUUAUAUAAUAUUAUAAUAUCUUGCACUGCACUAAAUUUCGCAUGUCAAAUAAUGACAAAGCAUACACGCUGCUUUUAACUUGUAAAAUGUAAUAACUCAUUUUCACUAUGCUUGGCGAAUAAAUGAUUUCUUUCUUUC